GCAAGUCGAACGAACCUUCGGGUUAGUGGCGGACGGGUGAGUAACGCGUGAGAAUCUGCCCUUAGGAGGGGGAUAACGGUUGGAAACGACCGCUAAUACCCCAUAUGCCGCGAGGUGAAACGAAUUUCGCCUGAGGAUGAGCCCGCGUCUGAUUAGCUAGUUGGUGGGGUAAGAGCCCACCAAGGCGACGAUCAGUAGCUGGUCUGAGAGGAUGAUC
rnacentral:rRNA from 1 species